rnacentral:rRNA from 1 species
UACGAAGGGGGCUAGCGUUGUUCGGAAUUACUGGGCGUAAAGCGCGCGCAGGCGGUCUUCCAAGUCAGUGGUGAAAGCCCGGAGCUCAACUCCGGAACUGCCAUUGAAACUGUUGGACUUGAGUACGGGAGAGGUGAGUGGAAUUCCCAGUGUAGAGGUGAAAUUCGUAGAUAUUGGGAAGAACACCGGUGGCGAAGGCGGCGACCUGGACCGAUACUGACGCUGAGGCGCGAAAGCGUGGGGAGCAAACAGG